GAUGAACGCUGGCGGCGUGCCUAAUACAUGCAAGUCGAGCGGACAGACGAGGAGUUUGCUCCUCUGACGUUAGCGGCGGACGGGGGAGGAACACGUGGAUAACCUACCUACAGCACUCGGAUUACGUCGGGAACCGGGAACUAAUACCGGAUAAUAUAUUGAACCGCAUGGUUCUAUAGUGAAAGGCGGUUGUGCUGCCACUUAUAGGUGGAUCCGCGCCGGAUUAGCUAGUUGGUGAGGUAACGGCUUACCAAGGCAACGGUGCGUAGCCGACCUGAGCGGGUGAUCGGCCACACUGGAACUGAGACACGGUCCAGGCUCCUACGGGAGGCAGCGGUAGGGAAUCUUCCGCAAUGGGCGAGAGCGUGACGGAGCAACGCCGCGUGAGUGAUGAGGGUCUUCGGAUCCUAGAACUCUGCUAUUAGGGAAGGCCAGAUGUGUAAGUAACUAUGCGCGUCUUGACGGUACCUAAUCAGAAAGCCCCGGCUAACUACGUG
rnacentral:rRNA from 1 species